CGGCUCGUGUCGAACUAGUCCAGUUUGGAACGUGAGUCGCGACGGUCAGGUUUUCGGGAAAACGUAGUUGUUUUGCGUUUUUUUUGUAUCGGGAGAAGAUUUUGUUUGGUGUGUAUUUGUGCUCGAGUUGUAUAUAUUGUCUCUUCUCGCCAGCUCUCACUUUUGAUCUGUGGUUAUUCAGGAAGGAAAGCUUUGCCCCCUAUUCGUUCGCCCACUGGCGGUGCCGUCAUCCGCGCGCGCGAGACAUCUUUCUAGCCGGACGGGGUCAAAGGGGGUUAUUCCGUAUCUUCGUCGCAGCGCGUGUCCGGAGAGCGACGCGAGAAGAGACUUCAAGAAGAAUUGUUAUUACCGAGGAAGCAGUGCGAACUGUUCCAGUGAGAGAAUUUAGUUCCCUGUGCUUUCAUCGCGUGACCUUCUGUGGCGUACCACGGAAAAUGAAAUUUAUCUAUCCAAGAGAAAAUUGAUCAGCUGACAUUCGAAAAUGAGCCAGCGAAAUAUGCCGGAGUGAGUGAGACCUAUCGUCGCCAACUCGUGGGAAAACAGUGAACACUAUUAAACUAAUUAUAAAACCAUUAGCGCCUACAAUAUUGCACAGCUUUUUGGCGUGCCCCAUUCAGUGGAUAGUGUAGAUCGGAACAGUGAAAUAAACGCAACUCAUCGUGAAACCAUUACAUCUGGAAGUGAUUAAAAUUUCUUUUCUCACUUCCGAAAGACGGCGCCGCGCGACUCAUUAUCGUACACAAUCCUAAAAUUCAUCAUAUUAAAAAAAAACCACAAGUUUUUUAUUAAUUUUCUCACGAUAUCAGAAUUAGUUGUUUUCGGCGAGCAAAAGUUGUUUGGAAAAUUUUACUCAAUAUCUUGAGCCAACAUUUUACGCUGACUUCAAAAUUGAAAUAACGAAAAUAUAACUACAAACUUUCGAGUGGGUUACAAAAAAGUGUCAAUCUUGCUUAGAAAGCAAACGAUGAAAAAUAGAUGAAUAUCUUUGAAACUAUCACUCGCAUGAAAGUGUGAAAAAUCUAGGAAACGAGAAAAUCGGUGAAAUAAUUUAAUAAGAAAGAUCAAAUUUAUUGUGUCAGCGACUAAUCUCUGAUUUCUCGGGUGUUAGCGGCGUUAGCGAAGCGGGCAAAGUGCUGAUGGUGCGACGGUAGACGGAGAUUAUUUGUGCGCAAGUGUCGUGUGGCGCAGCGAGAGUGUGUUUACCACCAUGCAGCUUUAAUAGCUCGGUCGUGUUGUGCCGGUGCUUUUACCUUUUGCGGUCCUAUCGGUGCGGUGUAGCAAAUUUAGUGCCAGAAGAACGGUGUAAGAGAGAGAGAGAGAGAGAGAGAGAGAGAGAGAGAAAAGUAAAACCGAUUACCAUGUGUCUGUGACGAUUUUCCAAACUACUAAAACCUUUGCUAUUGCCAGCAGCAUGCAGCACCAGCAGCAGUAGGCGAGAAAACACGUGGGUGCGGUACAUUUUUUGAAACGUACUGAACGGAGUGUGGAUCCGGAUUUUGGAUCACACGUCGGAUUUUAGCAGUGCUGGCGUUUCGAGCGAAAAGGCAACUCUAAAAAACUUGUUUCAUUGUGUGGCAACCGACCUUGACAGUUUGGCCAGAUUUCGGUUUGGGUGGAUUCAAGUAACCAGCACGCCAGGACCAGGACGAAAACAACGCCGUAAUCACGGACCGAUAAAAGCCAAUCCACCGCCGUCCCAGCCGUAUUGCGAAUCGCAAUGGCUAAAGCCGAUUCGAUCCAGAAUGGAAUCAAGACAGAAACUACAGAUGAUGUUGAAAAAUCACUGGAACUGCUGGACAAGGUCCUGUCCGAGUUCGAGGAAGAACAGGAGAUCGCACACGCCCCGGUCGAACCGGACAGCCCCUCCCAGGGUCAUCAGUCUGAGGAUGAUGGUUACAUGAGCAUGAACGGCCGGAGGGCAAAAUUCGUACCUGAUUUUCAACCAACUGACGAGGCGAAUGUUCCCUUGCUUCCACUUCCGGUGCCACCGGACGGCAAAUACUCACCGCCAUCGCCUGAGGAAGCAGAACGAAUCAUUUCCAAUUUGCUGCCAAGAAUUUCCCCAACUACGUCUCCCUCCCACAGGACCAACAGCACUAGUAGUAGUAGCAAUAAUCGCAGUCCAGCUCACAGCACCAAUAGUAGUCACUAUCACCAUCAUCAUCAUCACAGCAGUGGUCACAGUGAGUGGCGAACACGAAAUCUAAUCCGUCAUUCUGAUUCGAUUAACAGUUCGACUAGCGAUAAGCCUUCUUCAAACGAUGUAACGGUUAUCGCUAAGAAUCCUACACAGACAACACUGCCAAAGACACGACCACCGCACGUUUUACCCACACGUUAUGCAAGUCUUCCAUGUUCCAGCCCGCCCAAACAGGCCGGACCAAGUGAACCCAGCGGAGGCAGUUUGGACGAAGGCCGCAAUAAACUUGGUGGCAUCGGAAUCAGCGCGGUGCAUGAUGCAGUCCUGCGGGGGAUGACGCGGAUGCCAGAGCCAAUAGUCAACGAGCACCCAGUGACUAUCUAUCCUGGAAGGGCAUCGCCACCCAGGCGACAUCCGGGGCGAAAUUUUUCAAAUUCCAUCGAGCGGCACCGGGAUGUCUGUCGCAAAGGCAACUAUACUCCGGACAACUCUUCUUCGCAGGAAAAUUCUUCGCCUGAGAAUAACGAGUCAGAAAAUAAUUCACUAUCGCCCACACAUGGUGUUCAGAUAAACAUCAACUAUAACAACAACUUGGUCAGUAAUCGAAUAUUUGCUAGCAGCAUGGAAUACACACGACAGGUCAGACAACGGACCCAAACGGAUAGUGACGAUGAACGAUUUUCUGAGGACUCGUUGGAAGAGUCGUCACUUCCCCCGCCACCGGGACCUGUAACGGUACCACCACCACCAUCGCUGUCCGCACCGGUGACUCCCAGCAAACGUCACAGUAUAGCCUGGGAGGUGAAUCUAGACGAUCCGGCAAGUUUUGGAGAUCCAUUAACCAUUCCGAAAGGCACCGUUUCUGGUAGCACUAAGGUUGUUGGCAGGCGAAAAGGUAAGAAUGUUAACGAUUCACAGUCAAGUCUAGAGUCGACACCGAGUAAUAAAAAGAGCGAAUCAAGCGAAUGGCCGGAUCCUCCAGAUAUUCCGAUAUGCAGCACAGAGGAUGAGGCUGCUUCCCUAUAUUCCGACUCCGACGAACUAAUACCUCAAGUUCCCGACAUCAACGGGAGGGGCACGUACGUUAUUCGGAAAGGCCGCCGACGGCAACGUUUGGAAAGUUUAGAUUCAAACGCAAGCAAUAAUCUGCCGAUUCCCGGAAACGAACUUCAACCCAUCACAACCCUGCCGAGUCCGGUGUUUCCCGUGUCAAUGAUGUUGCCCAAAUCGAGGCAUAGCAUUGAUUUGGGACUGUCUUCCACAUACAAUGGCGGUGCAAUUAAACCGUCACACUCCGCCCCUCAGCAACUACCAAACUCAGUUCUCUCGCCCAGGUCACGACUAUCAUUAGAUUUAAGUUCACCUACCUCAGAGCUUUCAACGAAUGCUAGAAAAAUCAGCACACCGACCGGAAACAUCCCUUCGCACCUGCAUCAACACCUACAAUCCUCACAAAUUCACAGCAACAACAACAACAACAACAAUAAUAAUAGCAGCCUAAGCAAAAAUAAGCCUAACCAAAGCAGCAGCAACAAUAAUAACCUUAACACGACCUGUGCAAAUAAUAAUAAUAGUAUUACCGUUGGCAGCGGUUGCCUCGUUGGAUCCGUUCUGGUAGGAAACGGAAGUAGCACCCUGAAUCAGCUACCACCAGUGGUGUCGUCACGUUACACGGAGUUUAAAACAUACAGCUCGACCUUUGACGGUCUACAGGCUCUGGAAAAUAGUAACAGUAGCUGUAACAACAACAACAAUAAUAAUAGCAUCAAUCGCGGUGGCGCCAUCGGAAAUGGUUCCACCGUUGUAUCCGUUUCCGAUAAUGACAAUCCGCUAAUGCGAGUGUCCUCCCUUCCAGCUGUCACUUCGCCACACCCGAGCACCGCAACAGCCGAAGGUCUAUCCACACCACGCCGUGAACUGGCUCCACCAAUCGAAGAGGACGAGGAAGUAGAUAGCGACACCCAACGUGGCGUUCCAUUACGCAAAAUAGAAGAUAAUAUUAGUGCUUUAUUACGUGGUGAUAUAUCUGUUGCUAGAGUAGCCGACAUACCUCCCGCAAGACGUCCAUUAGGUUUUCGUCUAGGUGUUCAUAAAUCAGAAAGUGCCAAAGAGAUGCUAUUAUCACAAGCUGGUUUGGGGCCUUUGCCACCGUCGCCACCAUCUUCUAGUCCGGAUCAGGAUAGUGACGAGUUUCCUCCCUUACCACCCUCUCCUCUCGAGGAACCCGAAGUCAUCCAUCAGAUGCACGGUAUUUGUAUCACGUCACGUAAUAGGUCCAGUAGUAUCAAACACGAUGGCCACUACCGAGAAGAUCAUCCUCCAGCCGUUCCUCCACACCGCGGACCAUCAAUUAAUACGCUUAAAACUAGAUCCAUGGAUGCUGGCUUUAGCAAAUCGUAUCGCAGUGGUUCUCAUACAUCCACAUCACCUCAUGCCCCCGGAACGCUUCCUCCCGAUUUGCCCGGUUGCAACUCUCGACGAAGAAUCAUCACUGGAGGUUAUCAAAAGCGAACCGCACAAAGUCCUCGCGAGGAAAGAUGCUUACAAACAUCAUGCAGUUUACCAGAGACACCCAUUUUUGCCCGAGGUAGCUGUGAUAUUCCACGAACACCGCAUCGUCGUGCGCCAGAAGUUCCUCCGCACGGCAGUGGAAGCCGGACUGCACCACGGACUAACACAAACACAACCAGCAGUCUUGGAUCGUCAGUCGUCGGAAUUGGUACCUCGACCAUCGGUGGGCGGCAGCGCAGCAUCAGUCAAGCGUUUGCCAACGGUGAAAUGUUACGCUUAGCAGGUGGCCCCGCACGAGGCUGGUAUCCGAAGCAGCGGCAAGCGCGACCAGCAUCGACGGAACAACUGGACCGGCUACAUCCGCAGGGAUCGCUGCGCGCCUGGGAAGCGGGUACGGGUAGCAGAAAACCGCUUACCCUACCACCUAAUCUCACACCUAAAUUUUUCAACAAGUCACCGCGAGAGGCUUUGCGUCGUGUCACUAGUUUGUUAAUUCGAAAAGUUCGAAACAACGCGGGUAACAAACGAUAGUCGCGCGUUUUGUUUGUGUAACUCUGUGUUGUGCUAAUCGAUCGUUAACAAAUUAUUUUCAGUUGUACGGCUAAAUAUCUCCCAACACUAAACGAUAUCAGUUUCCAUAAUUGCUACUAGCAGCUAAGGACGCACAUUCGAAGUUCGACGGAUUUAUGUUAAUAAUUCAGAAUACCGUUCGCAACAGAUUGCAAAAUCAAAAAUUCUGAAACCAUAUCAAGUUCAUAAUUCGUGUUCAUCUCACGAGAUUAUUUGAGCUGAAGGUUUUUUACAAGUUUGUUGCUUCUUUUGCUAAUGACAUAAAAAUUUCUGUUAACAGUUUUUAUAACAGGUUCAACAUCAAGUUCUCCGCUGCAACACCGCUACAUGAAAUGUGAACUCACUUUCGUAUGCGUUGUUUCAUUUACACGAUUAACAUUGACGGAUUUUAGUUAUCUACCCAUUUCCAAUCGAUUACUCGUCGGAAAUUGUUGAAAAUAAACUGUACACUAUCAUGUUAUUCAUUAUAGCGUUUAUAUUCCAAGCACAAUAGAAUGAUGGCAAUAAAGCAAUCAUAGAUCAAAAAAAUUUGUUACGGAGAGUUAUGUAAUUGCAAUAUUAAAUAAUUCUUACUAACCAUGAAUCCAAUGUUCGAAUGGAGAGUGAAUAUACGCUAACUUAAUUAAGUGAAGCGUCAAGAGCGAAAGAAAAUAUGCAACAACAUUUUAAUCGCCGGAUGGCCCUAUCUCGAAUGCGGGUUGUUCAAAGAAAAAUUGAUUGUCCUUAUUACCAAGGAUAGUUAUCAAGAUGCUUGGGAUUCGAAAAAAAUUGUGAUAUUACAAUCUAGUUAUUCUGAAAUGAACAAUAGUUGGACGCAAAAUUGUUAUUCUUGAAAAAUAUCGAAAUGUUCUUAGAGCACUCAAAAAAAUUAUUAGAACUCUUCUUUUUUAAAUUUGUCAGUUCACGGAUAGAAGAAAAAUAACAAUAACUACAAAUCUACUUAAAUCUACGACUUGUGAUACCUCCAUAUACUACGACACUUUUGAUACCUCAAUAAACAUUACGAAAGCGACCUUUGGAACCAUGGAAUGUUUCUGUCGCUAUAUGCGACCAAUCUUUUGGAUCUGCAAGCCCACAAACCGGUCGUUUUGAACAUUUUGAGACUGCUGCAGUACAAGUAACUUUUCAUUGCAAAUAACGAAGUCUCAUCCUGUGUAAUAGGAUAGCUACUCUUUCAAAUCUUGUUUUCCAGGAAUAUUCCGAAAUAUCGUGAGCCUUGUGUUUUUUUGAAAGUCUGGCAUCCCAGGUCAUGUUGAGGUACAUACAUUGUUAAUAGUGGAUGUUCAAAUUAGCCGGCAUUUUUGGAUUUUUGUAAAGUCAUCGGUUGUCAGUCCUAGCUGAAUGUCUUCAGCCGGGUCUCGAAGUGCCUUCUAGUGAUUCGUUACUCUAAAUUUCGAUAGAAUAAGAAGCUUUGAUCUAUAAUAACAGUCUCACUGACUAAGCGUUAACAGCAGAAAAUGUGGAAAAUGUUGCAUCACAGAUAACAGAUAUACAGGCUCACAUAUGAACUGUGUGUAAAAUUUUCUCAAUCGCGUGGCGAACACUUGCAGAUGUCACCACGAUUGACAUGAUGUGCCUCCACGAUUUGGGUGCCGCUUUCACAUGAGCCACAAUUUUGAGUGCAACAUUCACUUCACGCUAGAUUUUUGUUUUGCUGUUGGUUAAAAUGACAAGAUUGUUUUUGUUUUAUUCCUAUCGAAUUCUCGUGUGAUUUAUGCGACAUGGAAAUAAAGUUGUCUUUAACACUUAGGGAAAUCAUGUGAUAAGUGUUAAAAUUGCUGUAGUUGAAAUAUUUCUAUAACAGACAGGAGGAUUUUGUUAUCGUUUCGGAACGUAGUGGAACGUUUUGAAAGAUCGCGGCGAACAGUCGAGUAGGUGGCAGUAAUAUUUCUAACGAAAUUUACACAGGAUUUUGAAAAAUUUUGUUCGAGCCUGUAUAUCUGUUAUCUGUGGUUGCAUGUAGUUCAGAACUAAUUGGCUUAAGUGGCACGUUCCCCUAGUUAUUUGGAGAUUUGUGCUCUAAAUAUGGCAACCACCGUAAGAACCGUCUUUUUAAGCGAGGUUAGAAGGACUGAGUUCCAUAUAUCAUUAGACUUCGUUUUUUUUACUAAUGUCUUUCUAAGAUCGAAUAUGUUACAGCUAAAACAAUUUAUGCACAAUUACAAAAUUCUCGAUUAAAUAUAACUUUACAGAUUAGAAGCCUUCAAUUUGCUCAAUGUUAGACAUGAAAUUCAUGCAUUAGUUUUCGUAAAAAGUUUCGAUAAAGUGACCAACCCUAAAUCAAAUAUUUAGGAACCGCGGGACUAAACCGGACUAUAAAGUUUCACACAAAAAUGAAGAACGAAAAGAACACGGCGCCAAACCUUAGGAUAAUCAAUGAGCGCAAAAUUAAAAAUUAAAUCGUGUUAGAAUAGAUUGUUUGUAGGUUUCAACCUUGCGUGGGACAUAAUCCUGCUCACUGAGAAUAUAGGUCACUUCACGUUCUGCAGUACGAAACAAUUGAUGUUGAAAAUGGUUUUAGAGUCUUUAUUGAAGACUAUUCGAUUGUUUCGUUACAUAAAGUGAACGUUUUGUUUAAAUUUAUAGUAAACCUAGUGUUAGGAAUUGAUAAGAAAUAAAAUUGAAAUAUAGUUAUCAAUAUCUAGGUAGGUUUCUAAAAUCAUCUCAAAAUUUAAAGUCGAAAAUGAUGUGUCCGAUUGGGCCCAACUUUUUUGUCCGGUUUAACCCGGCACAAACAAUUCAUUUUCCACUAACGAGACCGUCAUUGCAAGGCACAGCAAUCGAGUAUAGCUAAAAAAUUAAAAAUUUUCAAAAAAAAGUUUCAGUAAAAAACGUACAAACGAACACGAUUGAUGCCAAACUGAAUUGACUUAGCGCCCUCCAGCUAACUGACAUCUAUCUGUCACAUGAAAGCGCGUUUACAAAGUCAAUCCAUGGAUCGAAAUUAUUGCUGUUUUAGAAUAUAUUUAAGCUAUCCGGUUUAACCUUGUGUCCGAACUAGCCCCGAUUUUUAUGCUCCAAUUCUUAAUUAUUCGAAAACUAAAUUGAAAGAAUUACGCUUCUUAAAUAUUUUACGCAAUAUUUCUACUUAGAACAAGUUUCAAUUACCAACAUUCGACAUAAAUUUGAUUAGUUUUUUUUCUGAUGAAGAAAUUAUAUCUAAAACAGUUUGAUGGUAUUUGCAAAACAUUUAGCUUUGAUUUUAAAAAAUAUCCAAUUUUUCCACACCAAAACAUUAAUUUAUGGCUCAAUAGCAAUCAAUUUUGUCGUUCCCAGGGCAUGAAAGUCAAAGUACUAAGAUUUUCAUUAAAUCGCCCAAUUUUGGCAAAUUAUAUGUGGUAUAUUUCAUUUAUAAUCAAAUAUACAAUUUAUAUAAAACCAUCAUUACUCGAAUUAAAUGUCAAAAUAUCUGGAGACAGUUACUGCGCUUUUUUAUAUUUCGUUUAUUUUUCUAAUUAUUAAAAAACGAUAAACUGUUUUCUAUGGUAAUUUAUUUUUAGAGCGACCUUUCCCAACUUGUGGGUUGGAAAAGUAUGCAUUAGUUUUCGUAAAAAGUUGCGAUGAAGAGAACAACCCAAAAUCAAAUAUUUAGGACUAAAUCGGACUCCCUAUGGGGCUAAACCGGACUGUAAAGUUUCACACAAAAAUGAAGAACGAAAUCCUAAGAUAAUUGAAGAAUAUAGAUCACUUCAUGUUCUGCAGUACGAAAUAAUUGAUGUUAAAAAUGAUUUUAGAGUCUUUAUUAACAAACUAUUCGAUUGUUUCGUUACAUAUAAUGAACGUUUUGAUUAAAUUUAUAGUAAACCUAGUGUUAGUCAAUGAUAAGAAAUAAAAUUGAACUAUAGAUAUCAAUAUCUAGGUGCAAGUAACUGUUUAUGAGUUCAAAGAUUUGAAGAAAGUGUACGAACAUGUACAUUCGACUUUUUAAGAAAUCAUUCUUCCAUUGAAUUGAUCUCAAUAUACAAAACAAAUGGUUCGUUAUACUAAAUACUGAAUGUUUUAUCUGUGUACGAUAGAGCUUAUUAGGAAGAAACAAGAUAAUCAGUAUACAAUACGCCAAGAUUCAUCGUCAAAAUGCAACGAAAAUAAUUGUUGACUGACUUUUGUCACAUAUGUUUAUCCUAGAAAUACAAUUUGUGUCUUCUUGUUUUAGGGGAACGAAAUUUUAAGAUUUUAGAUGUCAUAGAUUUUGAUACUCAUUUUGUUUAGGUGUAUUCUACAUUUUUAAAAUUGAACUUUGUCUAAAAAGCAGCGCUUGAUCAAAAGCUCAGCCGAGACACGAACCCAAUCCGAAAGACCGAACCGAAGUUCGAAUGUGCGACCAGACUGUGAAAAUAAAACGCGCGAAGCACGUGACUGCGGCAUGUGCAUCUUCCUCAUACACUUCAACGCAGACCGUACCUGUUGUAUCCUCCGGUUACCACUUUGGAAACGAGUCCAAAACACAAACACAAUCGAAAAGUGGACGCGAAAUCGCUUGCUUGGACUCAUCUAGCGUACUAAAACAAACAAAACACCACACCAUACCCAUAUGUCAAACGAUUUGUUGAUCGAUUAUAAAACAGCAGUACAAAACCCGAUUCGCAGGAAACGGAAAUUCCGGAACCAAGGAGAAGGAAUCGAGAAAGGAGAAAGACCGGAGUGAACGGGACGGUUAUUCAUCAUCAUCCGUUUUUCUACAACGUUCGCCGGGAUCGGAUGUAACUGACUCACGGAACUAUCCUCAUCAUAAU